CUUGAAACCUAUGAGAGGUCCAGCCUGCCCAGUGACUCUGUUCAACGGCCGCGGUAUCCUAACCGUGCGAAGGUAGCGUAAUCACUUGUUCUUUAAAUGAGGACUAGUAUGAAUGGCACCACGAAGGUUAUACUGUCUCCUUUUUCUAAUCAGUGAAACUAAUCUUCCCGUGAAGAAGCGGGAAUAAAAAUAUAAGACGAGAAGACCCUAUGGAGCUUUAAACAAACAUACAAUUGCCUUAUCUCAUAAAAAUUCCAGAAAAAACACUUCUAUUCAGGCACUUUGAUAUAAAGUUUUAGGUUGGGGUGACCACGGAGUAAAAAACAACCUCCGCAGUGAAAGGGGCUUUUCCCUAAGCCAAGGGCCACGACCCUAAGAAUCAAUAAAUUGACACUAAUUGACCCAAUUAAUUGAUCAAUGAAC
rnacentral:rRNA from 1 species